UUAAAUACCACGAAUGAAUUUCAGUCUGUCCGUGCUUUGAUCUUGAUCCACCGUUCUAAUCCUCUCUCUCAAUCUGCCUAAAUCUCAUGUGGCCGGACUGAAUUCACCGAGAAAUUAAAACCACAAUAAACAUCCAGAUCUGAAGUCUAUAUCACGUAAAAACCCUGCCGUAAAUCACCACGAAAUGUCUUCAAUUGAUCUGAAAGCCUCUGAAUGCACAUUCUUCAACAAUCUAAGAUUGAUCAUUAAACGAUCAAAUUCAGACCACCUGCAAAACUCCUCUUUCACCAGCGGAGCGGGAGAAAUUAGAAUUUUUUUGGGAGACGCACGUUAAUUACACGCGCCCACUUCUUAUCCUCCG
rnacentral:lncRNA from 1 species